GACCAAGUCGCUGAGAAUUCUACACCGCCAUUCAGGCUCUGAAUCCUACCGUAACCACUAACCGUCUACAGGACUUCAUUCACAAGUAAGAAUGCCUUGCCCUGCAUGGCAAGCCUGGUCUGAGAGUACAGAGGAAUAUUAAGGAAUUUCUCAGACAGGACUGGGAUAUAUUUGGAAAGCAGAGAGCACAACGUUCUGGUUGGGGAGAGAGCACACUUUGGAGAGGAUCUCCUCGACCUAAUCAGGGACCUGUUGGUACCCUCAGCAUCAGCGUGACAGCUCUCCACAGCGCCUCUGACCUCAUUCAUCAGGUGCUGAAGAACUGUUUCCAGAAAAUGAAAACUGAUUGCAACAUUGCACCAGCAUAAAGCUCAUUCAAUAAAAAUAAAAGGGGACUUGGAGAGUGAAGAUUCGGAGAAAUCAUAGAUAAAUAUAUAUUUUUAGGUAUUCCAUGUUUAUCCUCCUACCAGAACAAGUGAGUUAAUGUAAAGCAAACAGCCAGUGUCAGUUAAGAGAAGAAGCUAUUAGGAAAGUAAGAAUAUGUUCAGUGUUUACCAUAGAAAGGAGUGAAUCUAUUACUUCGGAAUGAAACAGAAGCAUAAUUUGUUCUUAUUAAACUGUUCUCCGAAGAUGCGCUUCUGUUUACAAAACCACACCGAGGCAAAGUGUUUUCUUUUCAUCCUUGAAACCUCUUCGACAGCAAUCUGUUGACACACAAGGGCAUCAGGGGCUUAUAUCAGAACAUGAUUUGCUUAUGUGGGAUAUCACCUGCAUUAAAACAGUGCUCAGAGUUGAGCCCCAAGAUGUCUCUAUUAAAAUGUGAAGCCUAGUCCUAUGUGUUUCUGUGAAUCAAAGAAUAAAUACGAAGCUUAAAAUCUCUGAGUUAAAAA